rnacentral:rRNA from 1 species
GACGAACGCUGGCGGCGUGCUUAACACAUGCAAGUCGAACGGAAAGGCCCUGCUUUUGUUGGGUGCUCGAGUGGCGAACGGGUGAGUAACACGUGAGUAACCUGCCCUUGACUUUGGGAUAACUUCAGGAAACUGGGGCUAAUACCGGAUAGGAGCUCCUGCUGCAUGGUGGGGGUUGGAAAGGUUCGGCGGUUGGGGAUGGACUCGCGGCUUAUCAGCUUGUUGGUGGGGUAGUGGCUUACCAAGGCUUUGACGGGUAGCCGGCCUGAGAGGGUGACCGGCCACAUUGGGACUGAGAUACGGCCCAGACUCCUACGGGAGGCAGCAGUGGGGAAUAUUGCACAAUGGGCGGAAGCCUGAUGCAGCAACGCCGCGUGCGGGAUGACGGCCUUCGGGUUGUAAACCGCUUUCGCCUGUGACGAAGCGUGAGUGACGGUAAUGGGUAAAGAAGCACCGGCUAACUACGUG